ACAACUGAUGAACCUACAUUGACACAUCUUUAUCACUCAAAGUCUAUAGUUUACAUUAGGGUUCACUCUCAGUGUUGUACCUUCUGUGGGUUUUGGCAAAUAUAUAAUGACAUGUAUCCAUUAUUAGAUUCUCUUGUAGAAUAAUC